GGUGGCAUAGCCAAGCGGUAAGGCAAAGGUCUGCAAAACCUCUAUUCCCCAGUUCGAUUCUGGGUGCCACCUCCA
rnacentral:tRNA from 3 species